UAGGGAAUCUCCCACAAUGGACGAAAGUCUGAUGGAGCAAUGCCGCGUGAGUGAAGAAGGGUUUCGGCUCGUAAAACUCUGUUGUUAAAGAAGAACACCUUUGAGAGUAACUGUUCAAGGGUUGACGGUAUUUAACCAGAAAGCCACGGCUAACUACGUG
rnacentral:rRNA from 1 species